rnacentral:rRNA from 1 species
AGAGAAUGGAAUUACAGGGAAUAACUAUUUAAAACUUAAAAAUUAAAAUUAUUUUAAUUUGUGAAGAAACAAUUAUUAAAAUUAAGGACAAGAAGACCCUAAGAAUUUUAAAAUAAUUAAUUUCUUAUAAGAAAUUAAUUAUUUUUAGUUGGGGCAACUAGAAAAUAUUAUAAACUUUUUAUAUAAUAAAAUGACCCAUUAUUAAUGAUUAUUUGAGAAAAAUACUCUAGGGAUAACAGCGUAAUAAUUUUUGAUAGAACCUAUAGACAAAAUAGUUUGCGACCUCGAUGUUGGAUUAGGAUACUUUUUUAAUGAAGAUGUUAAAAAAAGAAGUUUGUUCAACUUUUAAAGUCCU